UACCCCGCUGAACUUAAGCAUAUCAAUAAGCGGAGGAAAAGAAACCAACAGGGAUUGCCCUAGUAACGGCGAGUGAAGCGGCAACAGCUCAAAUUUGAAAUCUGGCUCUUUUAGAGUCCGAGUUGUAAUUUGCAGAGGGCGCUUUGGCGUUGGCAGCGGUCCAAGUUCUUUGGAACAGGACGUCACAGAGGGUGAGAAUCCCGUACGUGGUCGCUAGCCUUCGCCGUGUAAAGCCCCUUCGACGAGUCGAGUUGUUUGGGAAUGCAGCUCUAAAUGGGAGGUAAAUUUCUUCUAAAGCUAAAUACUGGCCAGAGACCGAUAGCGCACAAGUAGAGUGAUCGAAAGAUGAAAAGCACUUUGGAAAGAGAGUCAAAUAGCACGUGAAAUUGUUGAAAGGGAAGCGCUUGCAGCCAGACUUGCCUGUAGUUGCUUAUCCGGACUUUUGUCCGGUGCACUCUUCUGCGGGCAGGCCAGCAUCAGUUUAGGCGGUUGGAUAAAGGUCUCUAUCACGUACCUCCCUUCGGGGUUGGCCUUAUAGGGGAGACGACAUGCAACCAGCCUGAACUGAGGUCCGCGCAUCUGCUAGGAUGCUGGCGUAAUGGCUGUAAGCGGCCCGUCUUGAAACACGGACCAAGGAGUCUAACAUCUAUGCGAGUGUUUGGGUGUCAAGCCCAGACGCGUAAUGAAAGUGAACGGAGGUGGGAACCUUUUAGGUGCACCAUCGACCGAUCCUGAUGUCUUCGGAUGGAUUUGAGUAAGAGCAUGGCUGUUGGGACCCGAAAGAUGGUGAACUAUGCUUGAAUAGGGUGAAGCCAGAGGAAACUCUGGUGGAGGCUCGCAGCGGUUCUGACGUGCAAAUCGAUCGUCAAAUUUGGGCAUAGGGGCGAAAGACUAAUCGAACUAUCUAGUAGCUGGUUCCUGCCGAAGUUUCCCUCAGGAAA
rnacentral:rRNA from 1 species